rnacentral:lncRNA from 1 species
GUUGGAUGGCUGGAAGCUGACUGAUCAGCUCGAAAGAAGAAUGCAACGAAUUCUGAAUGAUUAGGAAGGGCUGGACCUCUCUUGGUUGACCGAAGGCCUUACUUCUCUUCUCGAGCUCAUGGACUCUGUUCAUGGUUUCAUGGGAACAGAGAAUUGCUGUUCUUUCAUCCGUUGAGUUUGAUUCUAUCAUAACGUAACUAAAUAAGUAGUUGAUCCAUCCCGUUAAAAGAUGUUGAGUAAGGGCACUUGCUGUUGCCACUCUUAGAGUAAGCGCUUCAAAGUCAGUAGAAAGAGGGCCCUCGACUGGGAUUCUUCUUUCCCGGGCUUAAGGAAGCGAUUGACUCCGAGGGUCAAAAAAUUCUUUACUUUAGGAGGUCCUACCCGGAACUCCCAUUCCAGUACUUGAACCGCCUCAAGGCUAGAGAAAAAACUUCCUAAUGUGCCUGAUGUUUUCACAAUAAUAGCGUAGUCAAGUAGCCCAGCUAGGGAAUCCACUUCUGAAGGAUGCCGAGAAGAAGCUCUUGUCUCUUGCUUGUUCGGUUUGCUCUUUUGCUCUUAUGAAGCUUUGAACUCUGCUUUUGCUGGUACUCUUUCCGUUGCAGGAAAAAGCGUAAUAGCCAUAGAGUCUUCAAUACCCGAAGAACGGGAAAUGGAUUUAGGUGCGAAGCGAUCCCAGCCCAAGUGAUAGAGUGGCCAAGCCAAGUAUAAGGACUUCACCCAAGAGCAAGGUGCGCAGCGGGGGGAGAUUCGAGUUUACAGGAAAGAUCAGAGUCGGAUUACCGGAUAUCCUCUGCUGAACAAGUAGCUGAAGCAAGAAUGAAUGUAGCAUCUUUACUUUCUAGAAUCCUAAUGUACACAGAAUGGUUUAGUUAAGACUUUAGAUAAGCCAAUAGAGUAGCUCGUCUCGUCUCAUAGUAUGAAUAAGAAGCAAAGUCAAUAGUCACUUCAAUCGGCAUAAUCAAAAUAGGCAUAUUGGGAAGGAACAGUAGAGGGCUAGAAGCUAUUCGUUC